GGUAAGGUUCACGGAUCUUUGGCUCGUGCCGGAAAAGUGAGGGGGCAAACUCCUAAGGUUGCGAAGCAAGACAAGAAGAAGAAGCCACGCGGUCGUGCUCACAAGCGUAUGCAAUACAAUCGCCGAUUCGUCACCGCUGUUGUGGGAUUCGGUAAGAAGCGUGGACCUAACUCAUCUGAGAAGUGA